GAUGAACGCUGGCGGCGUGCCUAAUACAUGCAAGUCGAACGGUAAGGCCCUUCGGGGUACACGAGUGGCGAACGGGUGAGUAACACGUGGGUGAUCUGCCCUGCACUUCGGGAUAAGCCUGGGUAACUGGGUCUAAUACCGGAUAGGACCCUGGGAUGCAUGUCCUGGGGUGGAAAGCUUUUGCGGUGUGGGAUGGGCCCGCGGCCUAUCAGCUUGUUGGUGGGGUGAUGGCCUACCAAGGCGACGACGGGUAGCCGGCCUGAGAGGGUGACCGGCCACACUGGGACUGAGAUACGGCCCAGACUCCUACGGGAGGCAGCAGUGGGGAAUAUUGCACAAUGGGCGCAAGCCUGAUGCAGCGACGCCGCGUGAGGGAUGACGGCCUUCGGGUUGUAAACCUCUUUCAGCACCGACGAAGCGCAAGUGACGGUAGGUGCAGAAGAAGGACCGGCCAACUACGUGCCAGCAGCCGCCGUAA
rnacentral:rRNA from 1 species